GAUGAACGCUGGCGGCGUGCCUAAUACAUGCAAGUCGAGCGAACGGACGAGAAGCUUGCUUCUCUGAUGUUAGCGGCGGACGGGUGAGUAACACGUGGAUAACCUACCUAUAAGACUGGGAUAACUUCGGGAAAUCGGAGCUAAUACCGGAUGAUAUUUUGAACCGCAUGGUUCAAAAGUGAAAGACGGUCUUGCUGUCACUUAUAGAUGGAUCCGCGCUGCAUUAGCUAGUUGGUAAGGUAACGGCUUACCAAGGCAACGAUGCAUAGCCGACCUGAGAGGGUGAUCGGCCACACUGGAACUGAGACACGGUCCAGACUCCUACGGGAGGCAGCAGUAGGGAAUCUUCCGCAAUGGGCGAAAGCCUGACGGAGCAACGCCGCGUGAGUGAUGAAGGUCUUCGGAUCGUAAAACUCUGUUAUUAGGGAAGAACAUAUGUGUAAGUAACUGUGCACAUCUUGACGGUACCUAAUCAGAAAGCCACGGCUAACUACGUG
rnacentral:rRNA from 1 species